UACGAAGGGAGCUAGCGUUGUUCGGAAUCACUGGGCGUAAAGCGCACGUAGGCGGUUGUGUCAGUCAGGGGUGAAAUCCCGGAGCUCAACUUCGGAACUGCCUUUGAUACAGCACGUCUUGAGUCCGGAAGAGGUGGGUGGAAUUCCUAGUGUAGAGGUGAAAUUCGUAGAUAUUAGGAAGAACACCGGUGGCGAAGGCGGCCCACUGGUCCGGUACUGACGCUGAGGUGCGAAAGCGUGGGGAGCAAACAGG
rnacentral:rRNA from 1 species